GACACUAUCCAAUAACCACAACUGUAAUAUGUAUUGAAAGAAAAUACUGCAGCAUAAUAAACAAUGUAGUGAUUACAAGUUUAGGCAGCAUUGAUACUUCAUCACUUGUGAUAAAAUAAGGAAAGCAGUAAGAGCUAUCAAGAGCCAGUUGGCUCCAUUAAUUUGAACAAAUUAUAUCACACUGAUAACAAAACAGACAAGAUCAUUCAC
rnacentral:misc_RNA from 1 species